GGUUUCGUGGUGUAGUGGUCAUCACGUCUGCUUUACACGCAGAAGGCCGCGGGUUCGAGCCCCGCCGAAACCU